rnacentral:tRNA from 1 species
GCGACACUAGCUCAGUUGGUAGAGCGCAACCUUGCCAAGGUUGAGGUCACGAGUUCGAACCUCGUGUGUAGCUCCA